rnacentral:rRNA from 1 species
GUUAACGCGGUGGGAUGAGCGGCGGUAUAGUGGAGGGGGUUAGGGUGAAUUGGGGUGACUGGUCGUAAAGGUUGUGUGGGCUGUUGUGUAAGUAGGGUGUGAAAUCCCGGGUGUGAACCUGGGAAGUGCAUUCGAUACGGGCAAGCUAGAGUACGGUAGAGGGCGGCGGAAUUCCGGGUGUAGCGGUGAAAUGCGGAGAUAUCCGGAGGAACACCGAUGGCGAAGGCAACCGCCUGGGCCUGUACUGACGCUGAGACACGAAAGCGUGGGGAGCAAACAGGAUUAGAUACCCGAGUAGUC